GUCAGCGACCAUGGCAGGGGAGGCACACCCGGUCCCAUUCCGAACCCGGAAGUUAAGCCCCCGAGCGCCGAUGGUACUGCGGAGUCAGUCCGUGGGAGAGCAGGACGUCGCUGACC
rfam:Olsenella sp. An285 An285_contig_27, whole genome shotgun sequence.